UUCUUGCACUGAAUUGAGUGAGGGAUUGCAGCGUAAAGCCCACAGAGAGGAGGCACGACGAACGAGGACUUGCAGCGGAAAGCCCGACCCCGU
rnacentral:sRNA from 1 species